CCUACGGGAGGCUGCAGUGGGGAAUAUUGCACAAUGGGGGAAACCCUGAUGCAGCGACGCCGCGUGAGUGAAGCAGUAAUUCGUUACGUAACGCUCUAUCAGCAGGGAAGACAAUGACGGUACCUGAGUCAGAAGCCCCGGCUAACUACGUGCCAGCAGCCGCGGUAAUACGUCGGGGGCAAGCGUUAUCCGGAUUUACUGGGUGUAAAGGGAGCGUAGACGGUGCGCCAGGUCUGGAGUGAAAUGCCGCAGCUUAACGGCGGAACUGCUUUGGAAACUGGCGAACUAGAGUGCGGGAGGGGUAAGCGGAAUUCCUAGUGUAGCGGGGAAAUGCGUAGAUAUUAGGAGGAACACCGGUGGCGAAGGCGGCUUACGGGACCGUAACUGACGUUGAGGCUCGAAAGCGUGGGGAGCAAACAGGAUGAGAUACCCGAGUAGUC
rnacentral:rRNA from 1 species